AACCCGGUGAUCUAGCCAUGGGCAGGUUGAAGGUUGGGUAACACUAACUGGAGGACCGAACCGACUAAUGUUGAAAAAUUAGCGGAUGACUUGUGGCUGGGGGUGAAAGGCCAAUCAAACCGGGAGAUAGCUGGUUCUCCCCGAAAGCUAUUUAGGUAGCGCCUCGUGAACUCAUCUUCGGGGGUAGAGCACUGUUUCGACUAGGGGGUCAUCCCGACUUACCAACUCGAUGCAAACUACGAAUACCGAAGAAUGUUAUCACGGGAGACACACGGCGGGUGCUAACGUUCGUCGUGAAGAGGGAAACAACCCAGACCGCCAGCUAAGGUCCCAAAGUCAUAGUUAAGUGGGAAACGAAGUGGGAAGGCUCAGACAGCCAGGAUGUUGGCUUAGAAGCAGCCAUCAUUUAAAGAAAGCGUAAUAGCUCACUGGUCGAGUCGGCCUGCGCGGAAGAUGUAACGGGGCUAAACUAUGCACCGAAGCUGCGGCAGCGAUAUGUAAAUAUUGUUGGGUAGGGGAGCGUUCUGUAAGCCUGUGAAGGUGUACUGUGAGGUAUGCUGGAGGUAUCAGAAGUGCGAAUGCUGACAUAAGUAACGAUAAUGCGGGUGAAAAACCCGCACGCCGGAAGACCAAGGGUUCCUGUCCAACGUUAAUCGGGGCAGGGUGAGUCGACCCCUAAGGCGAGGCAGAAAUGCGUAGUCGAUGGGAAACGGGUUAAUAUUCCCGUACUGGUGAUAAUUGCGAUGGGGGGACGGAGAAGGCUAGGCUGGCCGGGCGACGGUUGUCCCGGUUUAAGGAUGUAGGCAGGUGAA
rnacentral:rRNA from 1 species